AUACCUUUCUCAGCCUUUUGGCUAAGAUCAAGUGUAGUAUUUGUUCUUAUGAGUUUAAUAUUUGAUACAAGGUUCAUAGAACCACAUGAUAUUAAAUGUAUUUUUCUAGGGGGAGGGCCCACUUAUCAGGCUUCCAUUUGUGAUGUGGGCUCCAUAAAUCCAUUUGUGAUGCAGGCUCUCC
rnacentral:snRNA from 1 species